CUACGUGCCAGCAGCCGCGGUAAUACGUAGGGUGCAAGCGUUAAUCGGAAUUGCUGGGCGUAAAGCGAGCGCAGACGGUUACUUAAGCAGGAUGUGAAAUCCCCGGGCUCAACCUGGGAACUGCGUUCUGAACUGGGUGACUAGAGUGUGUCAGAGGGAGGUAGAAUUCCACGUGUAGCAGUGAAAUGCGUAGAGAUGUGGAGGAAUACCGAUGGCGAAGGCAGCCCCCUGGGAUAACACUGACGUUCAUGCUCGAAAGCGUGGGUAGCAAACAGGAUUAGAUACCCUGGUAGUCCACGCCCUAAACGAUGUCGAUUAGCUGUUGGGCAACUUGAUUGCUUAGUAGCGUAGCUAACGCGUGAAAUCGACCGCCUGGGGAGUACGGUCGCAAGAUUAAAACUCAAAGGAAUUGACGGGGACCCGCACAAGCGGUGGAUGAUGUGGAUUAAUUCGAUGCAACGCGAAGAACCUUACCUGGUUUUGACAUGUACGGAACCCUUUAGAGAUAGAGGGGUGCUUCGGGA
rnacentral:rRNA from 1 species